CAGCAGCCGCGGUAAUACGGAGGGGGCUAGCGUUGUUCGGAAUUACUGGGCGUAAAGCGCACGUAGGCGGCUUUGUAAGUUAGAGGUGAAAGCCCGGAGCUCAACUCCGGAAUUGCCUUUAAGACUGCAGAGCUAGCAGGUGAGAGAGGUGAGUGGAAUUCCGAGUGUAGAGGUGAAAUUCGUAGAUAUUCGGAAGAACACCAGUGGCGAAGGCGACACACUGGCCCGUUACUGACGCUGAUGCGCGAAAGCGUGGGGAGCAAACAGGAUUAGAUACCCCCGUAGUCCCUGUCUCUUAUAC
rnacentral:rRNA from 1 species